GGCGGACGGGUGAGUAAUGUAUAGUUAAUCUGCCCUUUAGAGGGGAUAACAGUUGGAAACGACUGCUAAUACCCCAUACUCCUUUUUACAUUAAUUGUAAUUGGGAAAUGUUUUUUCGCUAAAGGAUGAGACUAUAUGGUAUCAGGUAGUUGGUGGGGUAAGAGCCUACCAAGCCUAUGACGCCUAGCUGGUCUGAGAGGAUGAUCAGCCACACUGGAACUGAGACACGGUCCAG
rnacentral:rRNA from 1 species